rnacentral:lncRNA from 1 species
UAUCUUCAAUCGCACAAGAAGCUAAACCUUCAAUUAGAAAUUUUGAAAUGCAAAUCAGUGCAUAAUAUAGCAGCUAAAAGUAGUUAAUAACAAAUGCAAAAUAUGAAAGCUUACGUUGUAGGACGAGGCAAAAGGCCUUUGCGUGUGCGGUAACUUAUGUCUUGUUUCUUUUACUCAUCUUGCGUUCCUGUAAAUUUUUAGAGAAACAAAAAUUUCUCAGUGCCAAAUUUGGUUUCUACAUCUAACAAACAUUGGUAUCAAGCAACAACAUUUUAGUUUCUAACUGCUAAACUCAGAUUGCUAUGCUUACAAGAUUAGACUAAUCUGGACUAGCCUGCUACAUGACAGAUACUACUACAUUCCUAGUUCCUAAAAGCAAAAGAAAUCAAAUAAUGUAUCAUAUGGGCGUAUAUGGCCACCACAACAAGGAAAGGUGAAGGAGCUGAAAGCUUGAUCCUCAUGUCAGCCCCCUGAUUUCCACAUGAAAUAUAUUAGUUACAAAGAACCCAGCUAUCCAGAAUUAAUCUACUGGGACAAAGACAUACAACCGAGUAGUAAAAUAACACAACCUCCCACGGCGUAUGUUUUGAUAGAUACCAAACUACAUUGUUCAUGGCAGGUUAGCUUCAUAACAGCAGUUCAGUCCAAUUCAGAAAUAUAACGAUCAGAAAGUUGAACUGUAAUAAUCAUCUGAACAUACACACAGGCAUAGCUACGAAUCAGGAGAAUGCAACUUCAGAGCAUUGUUUCAUGGUGGUAAGAAAAAUACUAGAAUAUACAAAGAGGAAAAAGAAAAGAUAUCAAACUUUUUGUUGGCAAAGCAUCUCUAUGGCAUUCCCAACUUUUACCAGCAGAAAGAACCUAAAAGAAGUCCAGAAAAAUGUUGUAUAGGUGCAGCUUCACAUAAGCAAUUGCCAUUGCAACCUAUAACUUUUUCUGGAUUCACCAAUAAUGAAGAACUACAUAUCGGACAGUGUAACAUCAGCAGGCAGGUAGCGAAUCCUGACUAAAUCAUCUUAUCCUGCUAUCAUCAUUUAACUCGGUCAGUAGUACUACAAAUCUACAAAGGGAGAUAAGCUGAAGAAAUACCUGCAGUUUUUGGCUGUGCGGGGACGGAGAAUGUCGGGGAGCCGCGAGGGACUGUGGGUGCCGCCGUGCCAGAGGAAGGGGACCAGAAGAGGAAGUGACCUGGUCGCGCUCGGACGGCGGAGGAGUGGCGAUGCAGCGACGGAGAGCCGGUGGUGAGCGCGCCGCCGCUGUGGUGCUCGGCUUCUCGUUUCUCGCUAUGCAAGCGGUAGGGUUGGGUAGGCACGACGGCAGGCGGCGGCGGCGGGCAGGGACCUAGGGUUCGUCCAAGUCGGGGGAAGGGGCAGC